rnacentral:rRNA from 1 species
GAGUAAAGCUCCGGCGCUUCGGGAGAGUGCCUGCGGCCCAUCAGCUAGUUGGUAGGGUAACGGCCUACCAAGGCAGAGACGGGUAGGGGGCGUGAGAGCGCGGACCCCCACACUGGCACUGAGAUACGGGCCAGACUCCUACGGGAGGCAGCAGUAAGGGAUAUUGCGCAAUGGACGAAAGUCAGACGCAGCGACGCCGCGUGGGCGAUGAAGGCCUUCGGGUUGUAAAGCCCUUUUAUGGGGGAAGAGAAAAAGGACGGUACCCCAGGAAUAAGUCCCGGCUAACUACGUGCCAGCAGCCGCGGUAAAACGUAGGGGACAAGCGUUAUCCGGAUUCACUGGGCGUAAAGAGCGUUGAGGCGGUUCCGUAAGUUGGGCGUGAAAGCUCCGGGCUUAACUCGGAGAUGUCGUUCAAUACUGCGGGGCUUGAGGACAGCAGAGGAAGGUGGAAUUCCCGGUGUAGUGGUGAAAUGCGUAGAUAUCGGGAGGAACACCCGUGGCGAAGGCGGCCUUCUGGGCUGUUCCUGACGCUGAAGGCGAAAGCUAGGGGAGCGAACGGGAUUAGAUACCCCGGUAGUCCUAGCUGUAAACGAUGGAUGCUGGGUGUGGGGGGUGUAAAUUCCCUCUGUGCCGAAGCAAACGCGUUAAGCAUCCCGCCUGGGGACUACGGCCGCAAGGCUAAAACUCAAACGAAUUGACGGGGGCCCGCACAAGCAGCGGAGCGUGUGGUUUAAUUCGAUGCUACACGAAGAACCUUACCUGGGUUUGACAUGCACGUGGUAGGGAACCGAAAGGGGACCGACCUUCGGGAGCGUGCACAGGUGCUGCAUGGCUGUCGUCAGCUCGUGCCGUGAGGUGUCGGGUUAAGUCCCGUAACGAGCGCAACCCUUGCCCUUAGUUACAAGUGUCUAAGGGGACUGCCCGGGACAACUGGGAGGAAGGUGGGGAUGACGUCAAGUCAGCAUGGCCUUUAUAUCCAGGGCUACACACACGCUACAAUGGCCGGUACAAUAGGUUGCGAAGUCGUGAGGCGGAGCCAAUCCUCAAAGCCGGUCUCAGUUCGAAUUGCAG